GGGUUCUUAGCUCAGUUGGUAGAGCAGCGGACUCUUAAUACGUAGGUCGUAGGUUAGAAUCCUACAGGACCCACCA
rnacentral:tRNA from 1 species